AAGGCUUGACAUAUACGAGAACGGGCCAGAAAUGGUCAACUCUUUGGACACUCGUAUACAGGUGGUGCAUGGUUGUCGUCAGCUCGUGUCGUGAGAUGUUGGGUUAAGUCCCGCAACGAGCGCAACCCUCGUCGCAUGUUGCCAGCACGUUAUGGUGGGGACUCAUGUGAGACUGCCGGGGUCAACUCGGAGGAAGGUGGGGAUGACGUCAAAUCAUCAUGCCCCUUAUGUCUUGGGCUUCACGCAUGCUACAAUGGCCGGUACAAAGGGCUGCGAUGUCGUAAGGCGGAGCGAAUCCCAAAAAGCCGGUCUCAGUUCGGAUUGAGGUCUGCAACUCGACCUCAUGAAGUCGGAGUCGCUAGUAAUCGCAGAUCCCUAACGCUGCGGUGAAUACGUUCCCGGGCCUUGUACACACCGCCCGUCAAGUCAUGAAAGUCGGUAACACCCGAAGCCGGUGGC
rnacentral:rRNA from 1 species